GCAGAGUUCAGUUAGUUUGUUAUAAAAUCUUGCUAUUCAAGAUGAAGGGGAUAAAAUAAUUUGUUAUUACUCCCUGCUUCUUCCUCCUGAGAUAUCGAAGUUAAAGGGAGAAGAGAAGCAGCUGUAGGAAAAGCAACAGCAAUCUCUCUUUUAGACAAAUCAAACAUCCCACGUAUAAGGACACCAUUAGCCACAUGUUCCAUAAAACUACCACUAAUCCACCUGUUCCAAAGCAGCUGAACUUGCAAUUUCAGGCCUGCAAAGCUAAAAGACAUUAACAAACGGUGAGCAGAAAAAGAAAAAAUAAAGCACUCUAUCUAAAAUAAAAGAGCUUCCCCAAAAGCACAAAUAAAGAAGCGGAGGUGAGGGGCUGUGGGAGACACAGAAAACAACAUUGCUGAUUUGAGAUCAGAAGCUCAGAGUUUGCCAUGAAUGAACUAAGUCAGCAUUUCUCUGAAGGCUCUUGGACCCCACUGAAAAUCGGACUGUUCAACUCAUCUGGCAGCCACUCCCAGAGCCCCUGGAACUCUGGCCCAAGCCUCUCUGACUGACUCCUUCCCAGAUCUUCUCGGCUUAGCAGCUGAAGACUGACACUGCCCAAUCGCCUUGGAAGCCCCCUAGACCAUCACGGAUGCCGAGCUUCGAGUAACUCUCACAGUGGAGGGAACGCGCAUGAAAAAACCAAACAAACAAAAAAAUUUCUUUUGGUAGCAGAAUAAAAAAACAAAAAAAA
rnacentral:lncRNA from 1 species